UACGUAGGCAGCGAGCGUUGUUCGGAAUUACUGGGCGUAAAGAGUGUGUAGGCGGUUGCUCUAAGUUCGGUCGUGAAAUCUCCCUGGCUCAACUGGGAGGGUGCGCCGGAAACUGGAGUGCGUUGAGCGUUGGGAGAGGAAAGCGGAAUUCCUGGUGUAGCGGUGAAAUGACGUAGAGUAUCAGGAGGAACACCUGGUGGUGUAGACGGCUUUCUGGACCAUAGCUGGACGCUGAGACACGAAAGCGUGGGUAGCAAACAGG
rnacentral:rRNA from 1 species